CAGUAGGGAAUCUUCCGCAAUGGACGAAAGUCUGACGGAGCAACGCCGCGUGAGUGAUGAAGGCUUUCGGGUCGUAAAACUCUGUUGUUAGGGAAGAACAAGUGCUAGUUGAAUAAGCUGGCACCUUGACGGUACCUAACCAGAAAGCCACGGCUAACUACGUGCCAGCAGCCGCGGUAAUACGUAGGUGGCAAGCGUUAUCCGGAAUUAUUGGGCGUAAAGCGCGCGCAGGUGGUUUCUUAAGUCUGAUGUGAAAGCCCACGGCUCAACCGUGGAGGGUCAUUGGAAACUGGGAGACUUGAGUGCAGAAGAGGAAAGUGGAAUUCCAUGUGUAGCGGUGAAAUGCGUAGAGAUAUGGAGGAACACCAGUGGCGAAGGCGACUUUCUGGUCUGUAACUGACACUGAGGCGCGAAAGCGUGGGGAGCAAACAGGAUUAGA
rnacentral:rRNA from 1 species